rnacentral:rRNA from 1 species
GUAGGGUGCGAGCGUUAAUCGGAAUUACUGGGCGUAAAGCGUGCGCAGGCGGUUUUGUAAGCCAGAUGUGAAAUCCCGGGCUUAACCUGGGAAUGGCAUUUGGGACUGCAAGGCUAGAGUGCGGCAGAGGAGACUGGAAUUCCUGGUGUAGCAGUGAAAUGCGUAGAUAUCAGGAGGAAUACCGAUGGCGAAGGCAGGUCUCUGGGCUGACACUGACGCUCAUCCACGAAAGCGUGGGGAGCAACCAGGAUUAGAUACCCUGGUAGUCCACGCCCUAAACGAUGUCGACUGGUUGUUGGGGGUUUGACACUCUCAGUAACGGAGCUAACGCGUGAAGUCGCCCGCCUGGGGAGUACGGCUGCAAGGUUA